CCCUUAGAUGUUCUGGGCCGCACGCGCGCUACACUGACGAAUGCAACGAGCUUAUAACCUUGGCCGAAAGGUCUGGGUAAUCUCCAAAUUUCGUCGUGAUGGGGAUAGAUUAUUGCAAUUAUCAAUCUUCAACGAGGAAUGCCUAGUAAGCGCAAGUCAUCAGCUUGCGUUGAUUACGUCCCUGCCCUUUGUACACACCGCCCGUCGCUCCUACCGAUUGAAUGGUCCGGUGAAGCGUUCGGACCGUGGCCUUUGGACGGUUCGCCGUCUGUUGGCUGCGGGAAGUUCGUUAAACCUUAUCAUUUAGAGGAAGGAGAAGUCGUAACA
rnacentral:rRNA from 1 species